CCACCCUUCAGCCAACACCGGCAUCGUCAACCACACCCACUCCAGGAUGGGCUCCAUCAUGAGCACGGGCAUCGUGCAAGGCUCGUCGGGCGGCCAGAGCAGCGCGGGCUCCAGCGCCCACUACCCCCUGAACAGCCAGUUCACCAUGGGGGGCCCCCCCAUCUCCAUGGCCUCCCCCAUGUCCAUCACCACCAACACGAUGCACUACGGCAGCUAAAGACCCCUCCCCAAAAAAAAAAAAAAACCAGGAAAAACCAAAAGCGGGGACCCCGGCCCGGGGGUCCCUCCCUGCCCCCUCGCUCCGUGCCGGACCCGGAGGGGAUUUUUGGGAUUUUUUGGGAUUUUUUGGGA